CGCGGGGUAGAGCAGUUGGUAGCUCGUCGGGCUCAUAACCCGGAGGUCGGAGGUUCAAGUCCUCCCCCCGCAACCA
rnacentral:tRNA from 3 species